AGGUUAGAAGUUUCUCUUUAUACAUUUAAUAUCUCUAAGCAUGGCUUAUGAAUCUAAUGCUCACCACGGGCAUCAUUCUUCUUCCAUUUCCAUUGAAGAUAACAGUGGUAACCAUGUAAUGUCAAUGUUUUUCAACACCGAAUUACCCUUCGACUUUAUUUUUCAAAGUUGGAGGAUAACGUCUUCUAAGCAAUUAAUACUUAUGAUACUGGCACUUUUUAUAUUUUGCAUCUUGUCGCAGAUAAUUUUCAGGAUUAUUUAUUAUUAUGAAAAGAAGUGUGAUUGUCAUUCCAAGAAGAAAGUAAACACAGUGGAUCACGAUCCUCAAAAUUCAAUCUCCUCGUUUGCAUACUGCUCUCUGCUUCAAGGAUUUUUUUAUGGAGUAAAGUUGACCUUUGGUUAUCUACUAAUGCUUGUUGCAAUGACGUACAACGUCUACGUCUUUGUUACUUUGAUAUCUGGCUUGACGGUCGGAUUCAUCUUUUGCAAGGCAUAUGAUUGCCGGAAAAAUUACCAUUUAAAAAAUCUACAAAAUCCAACUUCGGGUUCGGUACCAGCCAAGUUGGAAGAAAGAUUUGAAGGAUUUGGGUGCGACUGCCACAAAGGUGGAGUCUAGGAUUCUCAUUCUUCUCGAAGAAUUUU